UUUUUACCAACGCUUUAAAGCGUCGGGAGAGACCAUUUUUUAAAAAAAAAUAAAAAUACGAAAAAAUGGCACCAGCAAAAAAUGGCAAUUGAUAAAGGCGCUCUUGUCAACAAGAAUUACAACAUCUCAACCUGAGAGAACAAGAGAAUUGUCAUGUUAUUAACAUCAGUCAUUCCCACAAAUUUUCAUCAUCUUUCCAAUUCAUGCUUCAAGAAAAUGAUAAACAUCACAAAUCCACACUGCUAGCUUCCAAAGAAUGGUUCAGAUAUGACGCUGGCAAGGUACAAUUUACUCGACCGAGAAUAAAAACUAAAAUAAAUGGUUCAGAUAUGACGCUGGCAAGGUACAAUUUAUGUAGAGGAGGACCGACAUGCAGGAAAAAGCUAAUUGUUGAUGCUUAAUAUUAUGUUUUUUGGGGUUCCGGAAA
rnacentral:lncRNA from 1 species